UACGUAGGGAGCAAGCGUUGUCCGGAAUCAUUGGGCGUAAAGCGCGCGUAGGCGGCUCGAUCAGUCUGUUGUGAAAGUCAAAGGCUCAACCUUUGAAUGCCGAUGGAUACUGUCGAGCUAGAGUCCGGAAGAGGCGGGUGGAAUUCCUGGUGUAGCGGUGGAAUGCGCAGAUAUCAGGAGGAACACCAACGGCGAAGGCAGCCCGCUGGGACGGUAUUGACGCUGAGACGCGAAAGCGUGGGGAGCAAACAGG
rnacentral:rRNA from 1 species